rnacentral:snoRNA from 14 species
GGGAGUGAUGAGGUUCGCUAGAGCUGAAGGAUUGAUGAUGAGACCCAGGGUAUCUGACCG